GCUGUUACACCAUAUCGCCAUAGACCUUAGCGGUAGCAAAAAGUCAGAUCUUGAUUCUUUUUUAAACUAGGGUCAGAUCUCGAAUAGGUUUGAGAAAAGAGUCAAAACACAAAAUUUAUCCUUGUAUGACCAAUCUACCGGACAUGGUCGGCCGGCCAGGGUGCAAACGCGUGCGCCUGUUCACGCGGUGCCUGUGUGGCCGACAUGCACGUCCGCACGCUCUGCCAAACCGCGAGGCUGUGCUCGUCCGCUACCUCCUCCUCUCGAGUCCUCUCCAUGUCUGGUAGUUGCCCCGCGACCGUGCCCGUGACGCUAAGCUCUCUGCUCCUCCAUUGUCCGUCGGUCGGCCAGAGCUUCUCGAGCGCUCCCGAGCUCUCCCUCGACUAUAAAUAGCUUGGCCGCCCUCCUCCGCAGCUCGCCGAUCUCUUCUCGGCCCUCCUAGUCCACCGGAUCCCCUCCACCUCGCCUCUGUCCACCGCCGUCCAUCAUGGCCGCCUCGGCCUCGGCCUAAAUUUCGGCCAGCCGAGCUCCUCCUCCACCCCCUGACCCCACCAUCUUCUUCCCCACACGCCGGCGCACCUCCCCAUCCUCUCCACCCCUCGCCGGAGUAGCCAUGGUUGUCGCCCCCAUGCUCGGCUGCCGCCACCGCUGCUCUUUGUCCCCGCGUGGCGUUGCCACUCCGCCACUCCGCCCCUCCCCGGCGCCCGCAACCCAGCCCGUUGGACGCGCCCCCUUCCCUCGAGCUCGCCGGUGCCGCCCACUCGGCCGGAGACCGCCGUCGCCGGCCGGGCCGUCGUCAGCCAGACCCUCCCCUGCUCCCUCCUCUGUUUCCAUCGGGGGCAGGGUGAGGAGGAAGAAGACAUGGGCCAGGCGGGCCCCCUCCUCCCCGCUGGACCCCACCCGUCAGCCCCUCCGCGUUGUCCCAACACGGGCCACGUCAGUAAGUGGAAGCGUAUUCGAUAGAACACGUUUCCCUCCUGUGAAAACCCGGGGACUUGUUUGUGGAGCUAUUUUUACACAUUGUUCCCUGAUCUUCCACCUCUCGUAUCUUCGCGACUCUAACUCCGAAUCAGGUGAUUCCAAAGCCCACGUCUUCGUCUCAUCGAGCCCGAUCUGUUGGUGUCAUUUUCACUAUGUGUUCACAUACUAGAAAUGACCAUUUUGCCCUUGCCCUUAUCUAGCCCCCUCCGAGAGAGAAUAUUUUUCGGCGAAUCGUUCCGCGACUUCACCGCACUUCUUCCCGGAGUAUUCUUCAUCCCCAGGCAAGCCACGACAGCCACUUGCAUGAUGGAUUUGCAGUAUUCAUGGUUUUUACAUGAAUGUUUAAUAAAUGUUUGCUCAUUUACUACUGAUGUUGCUGUUUCGGUUAUGCUUGUGGAACCCUUCUUAUCAUCAUGCUAUACUUUUAUGCACUUUGUUAGUUAUAUGGUUAGUUGCUAGUAGUAUUGUUCUUGUAUUUCAUGCUGGUAUUUAUGUCAAGCUAGUGAUAGUGAUGUUCGUCUGAUGCAUGAUUAUCGUCAGUUAUGAAAAUCAUUUGUGAUAUGCAUGAUCAUCGCUAUGCCAUGUUCAUCUGCAUCCAGUAGACUAAGUGCUUUAUUAUUGUUGAUGCUAAGGUUGCAUAUGGUUAUAACUCCCAUCCAUGUUCAUGUUAAUAUCAUGCUCGUAUGCAUUGUCGUUU